GAUGAACGCUGGCGGCGUGCCUAAUACAUGCAAGUCGAACGCACAGCGAAAGGUGCUUGCACCUUUCAAGUGAGUGGCGAACGGGUGAGUAACACGUGGAUAACCUACCUCAAGGUUGGGGAUAACAUUUGGAAACAGAUGCUAAUACCGAAUAAAACUUCGUAUCGCAUGAUACAAGGUUAAAGCGCUACGGCGUCACCUAGAGAUGGAUCCGCGGUGC
rnacentral:rRNA from 1 species